rnacentral:hammerhead_ribozyme from 1 species
AUCUAGAUGUCGAGUCCCGAAUGGGACGAAAGGCACGUCCUGGAU